rnacentral:lncRNA from 1 species
GGUCUGGAAUUAUUUCGUGUCAAGUUUUAAAACAUAAUCAGACAAAUGAUCAAUUUAAACUUGGCUCAAAGAAUAAAAUUUUAAAUUGAUCGUUCUUUGUUAAUCAAAUUACUUUCUCAGCAAUCCAUUGGUUGGCUUUGCGAGAUGCAAAUGCAAAGGUCGAGUUAUGUGUUAUGGAAGCAGCGCGCCUACAAGUCAGUCGGAG